GCCUACGGGGCGCAGCAGUGGGGAAUAUUGCACAAUGGGGGAAACCCUGAUGCAGCGACGCCGCGUGAGUGAAGAAGUAUCUCGGUACGUAAAGCUCUAUCAGCAGGGAAGAAAAAAAGUCUUUGGCUUUGGACGGUACCUGACUAAGAAGCCCCGGCUAACUACGUGCCAGCAGCCGCGGUAAUACGUAGGGGGCAAGCGUUAUCCGGAUUUACUGGGUGUAAAGGGAGCGCAGGCGGCACGGCAAGCCUGAUGUGAAAGCCCGCGGCCCAACCGCGGGACUGCAUUGGGAACUACCGGGCUGG
rnacentral:rRNA from 1 species